rnacentral:tRNA from 1 species
GGCGGAGUAGCUCAGAUGGCUAGAGCACACGGUUCAUACCCGUGGUGUCGCGGGUUCGACUCCCUCCUCCGCUACCA